rnacentral:lncRNA from 1 species
GGCGACAUGGUUUCACAGUGAUGCCUUGCUCCAUUUGGAGACUGGACUGGAGGCUUGUGGAGGCAUUUCAGAUCCUGUCAGCAACCUGGAGAGGGAAAAAUCAUCAUUAGCUGGAGCAGGAGGCAGCAGAUGGACUGAUCCCAACUGCUCAGAAGAUGGAUGGCUGUAUCACAGAUCAGUAUCAGAUCCUGACGUAACACUGAAGAGCUGUUCCUCCCCCAGUUCCU